UUCCUUUAGUAUAUAUUUAAAGGUAUUGCCUGCCCUAUGUCUAUGUUUAUAAAUGGCUGCGGUAUCUUAACUGCACUAAGGUAGCAUAAUUAAUUGUCUUUUAAAUGGUGACUUGUUUGAACGGCUUAAUGAGAAAAAGAUUUUCUUAUAAUUAUAUUGAAAUUAUAUUUUAAGGUCAAAAUACCUAAAUAUGAAAGAAAGACGAGAAGACCCUGUUGAGUUUUACAUUUAUAUCUUAAAUGUUUAAAUGGGAAAUUUAAUCUCUUUUUGAGAUUUAUUAGAUCCUGGAAUAUUAUUUCUGGAAAAAGGACAAAAUUACCACAGGGAUAACAGGACAAUAUUUAUUGAGAGUUCUAAUCGAAAUAAAUGGUUGUUACCUCGAUGUUGAAUCGAAAUAUCUAUAUGAUGCAGCAGUCAUAAAAGUGGGUCUGUUCGACCUUUCAAAUUUCACG
rnacentral:rRNA from 1 species